GCCGGGCAGGGCAGCACCGCCUGUCAUCCCAGCCACUCGGGAGGCUGAGGCAGGAGGAUCGCGAGUUCAAAGCCAGCCUCAGAAACGGUGAGGCACCAAGCAACUCAGUGAGACCCUGUCUCUA
rnacentral:sRNA from 1 species